rnacentral:rRNA from 1 species
GACGAACGCUGGCGGCGCGCUUAACACAUGCCAGUCGUACGGUAAGGCCCUUUCGGGGGUACACGAGUGGCGAACGGGUGAGUAACACGUGAGUAACCUGCCCACAACUUUGGGAUAACGCUAGGAAACUGGUGCUAAUACUGGAUAUGUGCUCCUGCUGCAUGGUGGGGGUUGGAAAGCUCCGGCGGUUGUGGAUGGACUCGCGGCCUAUCAGCUUGUUGGUGGGGUAGUGGCCUACCAAGGCGGCGACGGGUAGCCGGCCUGAGAGGGUGACCGGCCACAUUGGGACUGAGAUACGGCCCAGACUCCGACGGGAGGCAGCAGUGGGGAAUAUUGCACAAUGGGCGCAAGCCUGAUGCAGCAACGCCGCGUGCGGGAUGACGGCCUUCGGGUUGUAAACCGCUUUCAGCAGGGACGAAGCUUUUUGUGACGGUACCUGCAGAAGAAGCACCGGCUAACUACGUG